rnacentral:lncRNA from 1 species
GCCACUGGCCCACCCACUGCGCUGCAGUCCACCUGGUGCCUUGUGGGACAGUGUACCAAAGUGCCCUGGACACGAGGGGGCCCUGCGCCCCCCACGCACUGACCCCGCAUCGGAGGCCCUGCGCCCCACACACACUGACCCCGCAUCGGCAUCGGGGGCCCUGCGCCCCCCACGCACUGACCCCGCAUCGGGGGCCCUGGGCUGCAGAACCCAUCGAUGCUGUUGCCGUGCCCCUGGUUCUGGUGACACUGGGACCCUCCAGGUUGGGCUGAGCAGGGCCCCCCCACCAGUGCGUACUCCAGCACCAGCGGGAGUGGGCCUGGGCAGGGGCUGAGGGAGUGACACCCAAGGGGACCUGCCCCAGCCUCCUCCUGUACCCUGGGGGUUCUCGUUUUCCUUGGCUGAGGGAGGUGGCCUCUCCCAGCUGAAACCUGGGGACAGGCUGGGCGUGAGAGCAAAGGGGGGUGAGCAGGACCCCAGGCCUUGGAAAUCCUGAGUCGGGGGAACAGGCUUUGCCUAUGACGUGCCUGGGAGCUGUCUGGGGGCCCUCCUGGGGAGCCAGGCUCACAGGAUGUUGUGUGGGACUCAACGUGGGGCAACGUCCCGGCCAAGAGGGGGAAGGCCAUCACCCCAGGGUCUGUGGGAGGCACAUGCAGGCCAAGCUCUCGCCCACCCGGCGUGCCGAUCCGCUGCAGCCAGGGUCCCUCAGCCUUGGCCAGAACCUGAAGUCCGACCGCUAUCCCUGGGGCUCCCCAGCCAGGCAGGCACCCCCCGCUUACAGGCCCAGGAGCCAAAACGGAGUCAAGCGCUCGGUGCGGGGACCAGCCGGGGGCAGGCCUGGGGAGCCCAUCUGGCAAGGGCGGCAGGAAGGCGCCCACUCCGGGACUGUGCCUGGGCCUGCCGGGGGUCUCCAGCCAGAGAG